CUCCUUUUCUCUAAUGGCAUCCUCUUGUCUCGUCCGGAAAGGAUUUGUCGAAAAUGUCGCAUUUGUUAUUCUCUCACUGUGAUCCCAAUUGAUUUCUUCUUCAUCUUCUUUUAUGAACCUGGCUUUCGCAUCUUCUUAGCUCUGGGCCAUUCCUCCGGUGAUUUUGGGUUGCAAUGGUUGGGAAAAUAUUUUUGUUAGAACUUUGUACUAACCGAAUGCUUCAGGAUGGUAUAUGAUUUCUGAAACAAGGUCAUAUGGAUUUGAAAACACCAGCUGGAUUCCGUUCAGAUCUCUGUUCAACUGGAAGACUUUCUCUUCCAUCUUGAUGUUGAAAUCUCUAGCCACAAUGUUGUAUUCUUCAAUACAUUUGCUUCCAUAAAAGAGCUGAGUUGUUCUUUCCAGGGGUAAGCAUCCAAAAGGAGAGAGUCCCGACAAAGACAUCUUCCGAGCUCCGAGUCUGUAUAUAUCUGUCACGAAAUCUGCUGCUAUUCCUAUCAGGAAAUAUUGGUACUCGUUCACUGAGUACUUCCGUAACUUGCGGGGAAGAAGAUAGUAAUUCUCCAGGAAAUCGUUGGUUCCGAUACUAAUCAGGUAAAGUGAUUCACUAAUAAUCUCAUUAGCUUUCUCUUCACCCAAGUAGCUUCUUAGCCUGGUUUGGUAUUCUUUGUAGUAUUCCACUUCCUUCCAUAGCGGCAUUACAGACUUUAGAAAUCGAUGACAAUUCAGAGAAAGCAUGUCAGAAAUCUAAGUCCAGUACAGUAGAAUAUAUAUAUGUUGUAAGAUAUAUAACUAUGCUUGACUUACUAACACGGCAGAGGUUGCAUUGUCUAAGCCGGUUCCAGCUGAAGCGAAACAGACACCAGUGGCAAAGUCUGCAAUGUUGUAUGCUGGAUCUAGGUAGGCAGGGACUGCGUUCUUGAGUCCCAAACCUUCAGAAAUGAAGUCUGGUGCAAUCCGGCCAUUUGAAAAUCUCCCAGUCGCUUUGCCGUCAAAGUAAUCCCGGCCAUAUGGCUGGAAAUUGCUCUUCAGAACAGUAGAAAUCUGGUUGUUGUUGCCUGAAUCAACAGUUGAGUCACCAAAUACGAUAAGUGCGGGAAAUUUUGCACACGUUUCAGGUAUCUUCACCAAGAGCUGAGCUGCUAGCAACAAGAACGCAAGAACUCUGUUUCGCUGCAUGCUUUUUACACAAGUUUUUUCAAUUUUUUGCUUCUGCAAAACAAGAACCUCACGAUUAAUUGGGAAGAACAAUUGGAGCAAGCAUUUAAGAUGGAGAAAGAUAGGUAUCUUCUAUCAAACCUGACUAAAACAGAUUUAGCUCGUGUAGUUAAUACCUUGGCCUGUUGUUAGAUGAUGCUUAUUAAAUACUCCUUAGUCUGAUAUGUCUCUGUUUAUUUUUGGCCACAGAGAGUUAGUUGAGGUGAGUAAUGAGCUGAAAAUGAUUGAGAGUUUCAAUAAUAGUUGUGCAGCAGAGAGCCGUAUUUAUAGCUACUAAAAAAGAGAGAAAGACAGAAUAUUUUAAAAUAGAAGGAUUCGUACCAUUGCAAGCUUCAGAUGUAUAUGUAACGCAUCUUCCUUUUUACCGGAUUCACGCUCAAAACUCAACUCUCUGUUCUUGUAUCACUUACUGUUUUUAUUGCUUACUGAGUCUAGAGUCUUGAAUGUAAAGAUUAUUUGCACUUUGGGUGAACUGUGUCGCACGUUUUGG
rnacentral:lncRNA from 1 species